ACGUUAGCGGCGGACGGGUGAGUAACACGUGGGUAACCUACCUAUAAGACUGGGAUAACUUCGGGAAACCGGAGCUAAUACCGGAUAAUAUUUCGAACCGCAUGGUUCGAUAGUGAAAGGUGGUUUUGCUAUCACUUAUAGAUGGACCCGCGCCGUAUCAGCUAGUUGGUACGGUAACGGCUUACCAAGGCGACGAUACGUAGCCGACCUGAGAGGGUGAUCGGCCACACUGGAACUGAGACACGGUCCAGACUCCUACGGGAGGCAGCAGAG
rnacentral:rRNA from 1 species